AGCCACUAAAGAUGUCGUCCACGCAUUUACACGAGCCACUUUGCUAGUGUAGUGGGACCAUAACUUCUCUCGCUAACUAAAUGGGUCAACUUAUCACACAUCUUCUCCCACUUGAAGAGCACAUACCUAUAGAGCAUGAAUAUUCACAACAUAAAGCAUAUGUUAAUCUCUUCCUCCACCAUGCCCAUGGAGAGGCAAC
rnacentral:lncRNA from 1 species